GUAUUGUGAUGAAAUCCAUGCGUGUCAACUGAUUCUGUAAACCCCUGGUGUGUUGUUGCUCUGGUUGGCGUUCUGCUAGCUUGAGUUGGCAAACAGUAGGGACCCAGAAGCAUGAUCAUACAUUUAAAACUUCUGAAUGC
ensembl:snoRNA SNORD10 small nucleolar RNA SNORD10